UUUGUCUUAUAUUACAAUAGGAUGAAAGUAUAAUGGAAAUCAUUUGAUCACCUCAAGAUGAGUGAAACAACUGAAGUUACAUAUGGACUCCCAUGGAUGUUAGCAAGCGACAAUAGAAAUGUGCUCAAAAAUUACAGCAAAGAACAUCAAAUAAUUCUGAAUACAGAGCAGAAUAUUAGGUUGCACAAAACUCCAAAGAGAAAAACUUAGAAGUAGCUAUUGUAUGCUGAUUACAUUUGUGAAUCCAGAGAGAAAAUAACGAAAUAUUUCCUAGGUAGAUUGCAAACGAACAACCACCAACCUAAAUUCAGAUACACAGAGUGCUUGAAAAAUAUGGUAAGAAUUGCGUAUUUCCUAAGAUUAACAGCUAAAAAUGGAACACACAAUACUAAAGUACUUGAAGAUUGUAUUUCUGUAAAGUAAUAAUUCUGUUGGGAAACAUCACCUGCUGAUCACCUGGGGAACAGUGUGAGAUGAAGAUUAAGUAUAUUUCUACAAUUUCUGACACAUUUCUAGGUCAAGCAGAAGAAAAAACUAUGAUAUUGCAUUUAAAUGGAAACGGAAAAUGAUGUUCUGCUAUAGAACCACAUAGGAACUUUCCCAUAUCCCUUGGAAAGUAGCUAGUUAGGAGGUAAUUUUUCAAUUUCUUUUAGUAUCUUAGAGGUAUUGCCUGAUAAAAUAGUAAAAAAAAGAACAAAAAAUCUUGGAGGUAAAUGGAUAAAAUCAGAUGCAAGUUUUUAAAAAAUUUAGACCAUACGAAAUAUACCCAGAAAAAUAACUUUUAGUUCUAGUAACACUAAAUUAGAUUUUAAAAGUGAAAAUCAAUACGGAAAAAGUACAGUUUCUGACUUAGGAUAUAACAGAAUAUUUUCAUGUUUUCCCUCUCUCAUAAAGCCUGCAUUAAGGGGAAUUUUACACAGUGAAUAGGUAUUGGUGUAUGAACCACAUAUGACGUUUUCAUUCCAGUUAGUUUGGAUAGUGGCCCAUUGCACAUUUAUUGCACAGAAAAUAAGAACAGAAUCUUCACUUUUAAUGCAGUGGAACAGGCUGUUUUAUUUCACAGCUUGCCCAAGUCAUUUAUAGCUCACCAAAAAAAAUUUACUUAACACAUGGUGGCAUAUGUAACUCCAUAAAGCUUUUUUUGAGAAGGAGGUGGAAGAUGGCAUUUGUAUACACAAAUAUAUCCAUACACAUUCUCAGGCUAACGCAAUAUGUUAGCACUCUUUUGUGUUAUAAACACAAAAUAGGCACAUUAUCAUGGUAACUGAAGAUGAAUAUUUUUGUAAGAACCUGCCUAUUCUUUCUCCACAUCAUGAUUUCCAGAUUCCCCCUCAGAUUUAUCCUGCAGUUCUUGGUCUCUUCAGUGAAAUAUGCUUAAAAUCUUGCUCAUACCUCCCUGGAGCUGCUCACUGGUGUGCACCGUCAUGUGCACUGCACAGCCUGGGUACCAGAGCAGAUGCUUCUACACUGACUGUUCGUGUGGAAGACAGUGUGGCAGCUGACAUAUUUAUCUCCUUUAUUUCAUGAGACCCCUUUAUAUGGGCAUGAAGAGGAUUUCUCAGUACACAGAUCACAGGAUGACAGAGGCUGUACCUCUUCCCCAUAGCUAACACAAUGGAAGAAGGCUAAUACACAUAUUACUCCUGGGAAUUCCUUCAUGAGAAAGGAUAAUACAGUUUGCAAGGUCUACAAAACCUUUACUAGAAUAUUCUGGAGUUUUCUGACUAAGCUGACACUCAAAGAACCAGUGGAAAUGCCAGAAAGUGAGCCUUUGGUCCAUGGCAGAACUGCACGGAGAAGUGCUUGGAAUUCAGUACACAUACUGGAUGGAAAUUUAAAGAAAAAGUGAACAACUGCACUCUGUUGGAAGGCAUGGGUGAGGAGUCACUCAGUUCCUAUAAGAAAUUUGCUAUUUUGUGUCUGGAAGUCUGUAAGCAAGGCCAAGCACAGACUAUGACAAGCUUUGCAAGUAUUUGUUGACUCCAACUAUGGAAUGAUUGAAGGCAUGUCAUGCUUACUGAUGUUUCUUAUAACACAUUUUGUAUCUUCUAAAAGAACAUUCAUUUCAUAUGGACCUAUGAAAUGCCAAAAGUUUAUCUUAAAUGUGCACAGCAUAUUCAAAAUGAGAAAUUUCAAAAUUUACUUAUAACAAACUAUUUCAUUUAAAAUGCUAUUUAUAUCUAUACAACUCUUUCCUAUUAGAAAUAAUUGCAGCUAAAACUAUCUUGUAGAUAACCAGUUCUGAAAUUCAAGAAAAUAAUUUCCUGCAUAUUUCUUAAUUUGAAAAACAGUUGGUAGGUGGAAAAUACCAUGUAUAAUCAGUUGGCUGAGUAGAUAGGGUACAUAAACCAAUCAUGAUCUAACACUGAAUCAAUAUAUUAAUCAUGUGUUUUUAAUUGUUUCUUUCAAUCCUUACAGGGAAAACAUCUGUUAUUUUGUCUGUAAUGUCUGUAAUAUUCCAGAGACAUUUCAUAAGCAAACUUUAAACAAAAGAUAUUGCACUUUCCGAAAUGAAUAAAGAAAUUGGUUUGCAUAAGUCAAUGAAGAUCACAAUAUGCAUCAUAAGAUUUACUGAAAUUUAAGAUUAACUUUCUCAUCUGCUCAAGGCAGAAUGUCAAGUAUAAGAUAACAUGCAACAAUGCAUAUCAUAAAAAUAACUAACACAGUGUCGAAGAACAAAACUCUGAAUUAUUUUAUAUUCUUAACUAGUAUGAAAAUACAGAAAAUGACAAGAUGAUAUGUAUAGAGAAACGAAGAUUAUCAUAGCAAUACUCAGUUAUUUAUAUUGACCAUUUGGUUGUUUCAGCAAAGUAAGUAGUACUGUUUACUGAUAUUUGCUUACUUGGUACAUUUUCAUAUCACAAAAACCAUUCCCAACAAAACAGUAACACAUUUCUCAAGUCAGUAAACAACUAAAAAAAGCAACUUUAUUUUUUCCCCUGUUUAUUCCACUAGCGUACAUUCCAAUGUUGUACUCUGUGAGCUGAACAUGAACUCUGUUGCCACAGUAUUGAUCAAACUGCCUAAAAGCCAGUUUUCAUUGCCAUUUGGGAGUCCUAUCUUGCCUUCCCUCCUGCUGCUUGUCUUAAACAUCUUGGUUGUGGUGGCAUGAGCAAAAGUUUCAGUUCAACCACUCUCCUGAAUAAUACACAAAUACUUGGAAGAAUUCUUGAUUCCGUAAAGGAAUUCUUUCAGAUUCUAAGUGGAAAUUAGUGACCCUGAUAUAAGACUUUUUAUCCAAGAAAUAGUGAUCAUGAUUAAAGUGAUACAUUUUUUAUUCAGCAUUGUUUAAAAAGAAAAAAAAAAAAAAAAAAAGAAUAUUCUUUUGAGAGAAUAAUAUUCAUCCAUAUUCCCUAAUGCCUUCUUGGAAUAAAAGCAAUAAUUUAAGAAAAUUUGUCUUAUGGAUGCAGCAAGGAAAACAGGAAGGAUAUUCACAAAAAACCUUUUGUCAUGAAGAGUCAAAUCGGUCAGAAGGAAAAGAGAAACAGUCCAGUGUUGUCACCACUUCAGCUAUCCUUCUAGAGUGAACAGAUAUGGAGGAAAAGGGAAAAAAAGAAGGAGAAUAAUACAAAAAGCAUGACUGAGACGUUCUGUGAAUAGAACAGCCUCAGCUUUCUCCUGGUCAUUAAAUUGCAGAAACUGUGUUUUCUUUCAAAUGUAUGUUCCACUUCUCAGGUAUGUGUUUAGAAGUGAUAACUCAGGUGUCAAAACAGACUGAGAAAGACAGUCCAAUUUGUAAUCCAAACAGAAAAAUGUCUUUUAGCUAGUGUUCAGCAUUAAGCUUUGAGAUUUUGCCUUUAAUUGUUUGAAAAAGAGUUAUCUGGACUGGCAGUCUUGCGACAAGCCCUGAGCAACAAAGAGGGCUGACACCAUCCUACACAGCAGUGCAAGUCCACACAAGCAGGUGAAACUACAGAUCUGCUUUGGGUAUUUAUCAUCCCAGACUAUUCAUGUCACACGUCUUCAGGCAGAAGUCUAUUAUUCUCUCUCUCUUGUCUUCUGAUUCAGUGUACCAUACUCUCACUGCCCCAAAAUUGCUGUUUACACACUUUUCAGAAGAUUUUGCUAGCAAUAAAAAGUACUGUUCCAACUUGAUCUAUGAAAUUCUACAGAGCUAACUACAUUCUUUUGAUGGGGCUGUUAGCUGCAUGUUUUGUGAACUGCCAACAGAAUAAAGAUACAGAAUAAAUAGCCAGUGAGAAAUGCCCCAGGACAGUUCUGAUAGUCUCCUCCCUUCAUUCUCCUUUACUCCAAAAAUUACUUUAAAUCAUGGUCUCAGCUAUUUCAGCUGCAUUUGUAUAUCAGGCACAGCUUUGACUACUCACCAAGAAGUGAUAUUUUGUGAGUUUUCUGCACAAUGUUGUGCAAAGCAAUUUACCAUUUGAAGUGAAUAACGGUGGCAAAAUAGCACUAAUCUGAAAAUGUGGUGAUGGUAUUUCUUUACUCAGCAAAGCAAUUCCAAUUUUUUUUUUUUUUAAUGUCCUUCAUAAGCUUCAGCUACCAUCUAAUGGACUUUUGAAAUAGAAGUUAUCAGAUGAAGAAUCCAAGCAAUUUCCUGAAAUUACAUGUCAGUUUAAAAUGGUGGAAGAGUAAAUAGCAGGAAUAGUCAAAGCAAAAUGUGCCAACUUUUAGACUAAACAGGACUCAAAAUACAGCCUGAAAUUAUUGCUAUCUGCAGAGAGAGAGGACAUACUGUUCUUGUUUUGAUAAUGAUUCUUGGAAAUGGGUUAUUUGUAGCAACAUGAAACCCUUUUAUUUUGGAAAUUAAGAAACUGGUGGAGGAGUUUAUAUAAAACAGCUUUGGGCAGUAAAUUACGUAAGUGUGAAGGUAGUAUCCUAAAUUAUUGUAGGAACUAAAAAGAUAUUGCCUAUCAAAAUGUGAAAAUGGGAGUACAGAUGAGGAGAUAUUUAAAUCCACAGUCAAUCCAAUACAAAAGAUUUACAGAACCUAGGAAUCAGCUUCCAUUCACUUUACGUUGUUGUGAACACUAGUUUGUGAUAAAGACAAUUCCUGCUGAUUUUAAUAUUUUAUUUUAUUUUAUUUUAUUAUUUUAUUUUAUUUUAUUUUAUUUUAUUUUAAUAUUAAGUGGUUAGAAAUUACACUGUGCUGGCUCAGACCUGUAUUAUGGAUUUUAUGCUGCUAACAAUAUCCUACUGGCAAAUACAUCAGAUCACAUUUUGCUGUAGCUUUAACCUUUUGUUAUACUGACACUUGAGACAAAGUUGAGUACUUUCCUCCUGGUGCUUUUUCUACAUAUGUCAAGCAACACGAGAAGUACAGACUAAAGCAGAUAAAGGCUCUGAUCUCUCUUUUGGCAUCUACGAUGAUCUGCAUGUUCAAGCAAGAGUGUGUUGACUCAGUAUAUCUCUCAUGAGUGCCAGUUUGGAAGAGUAGGAAAAAAAAAUCAUUAGAGUACAAUAAUAUUCAGGUCUAGACCAUUUACUUAGGUACUCAAAUACUGAUAUACUGUGUUCCAAGUACCCUAGGAAGAACCAGAGUAGUCUUCUAGAAAUUCUCUUAUUUGGUUUUAAAAUAUGUUCUUCCAUUGAAUAUUUGUUAUUUUAAAGUAAUAAAUUUAAACAAUGUAAAUAGUAUAUUUGGGGGCAAAACUAACACUCCUUCUUCAAAUAAAGAUAUUAUUUGCAAUGGAUUAUUAUUGAAUUAUACUCAUUAGGCAGGUAUAUAAAAUAUCUGUGUGGAUACCAAAGCUACCUAUGAAACUGCAUACUUUAAAAAUGGCGAUUUGUGUGUGUGGAGCUAGUGUGCCUUCCUAUUUCGUUUGUUGAAUUCACUUCCACUUCUGUUGCUGAAGUGAAAUUACGUUCUUCCUUAUCCUUCUCACUUGCAUUAUUAGAAGUUAUUAAAACUAAGCCAGGUAGUUUACUUAUUUCUAAUUAUUCUCUAUCUUUGAAAAGACUUUCUAGAUAAAAUCAGGAAAUAACUAUUGCAGAUGCACCUACAUUUUUAUAUACACAUAUACAGAGAGCCAGUAAUUAUAAUCAUAAUAUUUGAAAUUGUUUAAUUAUCUGGAGAACUCUAAAAUAAUUUAUUAUACUUUAAACAUAAAUGACCUACCAAUAAAUUUCCACAUAACAGGCGAGAUCAUUCUAUGGGAUAAAUUAUUGACAAAAAAGCAGACCGUGGGCUGAUUUAUGCUAUCUGAAAAGCUGACUAAUAAACCCUGAUAACCCAGGAUAAACCCUGAUACACAGUUUAUGUUGAAAGGAAUAUGAUUAAUUUUAUGUGAAUGUUUAAUUGGCUCUGAUUCAAAUUUUUCACAGAAAUGAAUUCAAAUUAACUUAAACUUCUGUUUCCCUGUGGCUUGCAUCCCUUGCUGCUUCUGCCUUAAAAGGGUUUAUUCUGAAAAUUUAUUGUUCCUUUUUGAAGGGUGUGAGGGGAAUGUACGUUGUGCAAUUUGUUUAGUUGCAGAUUGCACUCUUAUCUCUCACAGGCAACAAGGACGCUACUCUUCAGGGUAUAUUUUUAAUUAAGUACUGUAGUUGAAUAUUGGCUUUUACAAAUGUGCUGAACAAAAUCUUCUGUUGUGGCUUCACUUUAAUUUUAAAACAGAUCAAUUUAAAUACAUUUUUUACUGUUUAAAAUAAAGAAAUAGUUCAGUCUAAUAACCUUAAGGUGAUGUAUAUCCUCCUCAUUAACAGUACUGUGAGUAAUAUUUUUGUUUAUGAUUUCCUUUUUACUUCUCAUCAGACAUAUAAUUAACUCACUAACUAGCAAAAUGUAUUCUGUGGGAAAGGUCAUAGGUCUAGAAGUAGAGAACGAUUUCUCUGGUGCAUUCUUUUGUUUGGUUUUGUUUAAGUGGCAAUCCAAUGCAAGAGAAAAAAAAAACAAAAGAAAACAACCACAACACUAAGUUAAAGGACGUAACCCCUUCUAAGGGUUCUCUUAAGUUAUGUGUGAACGACUGAUAAAUAUACAGAUAAAUCUAUAUAAAUAAUCUAAAUAUAAAUCUAUCAAUAGAUUUUUUUCCCCAUCACCAUUGUGGAAACACCAUAUAUUGCUACUACUUGGCCUGAAGAAACAAACAGCUGUCUUGAAAUGUGCUGUUCUCCAACACAUUCAGAUAAAUUGAUGUGAUAAUAAUAAAAAUGUUCUACAUUAUCUGUAAUGGCUUUCUUAAGAAAGGGCUUUUACCUUUAGUGACAAAAAAGGCAAAAUCAGCCCGUACUAACUUGCUAAGUCAACUGUUCUAUUUCAUAGAACCAGAUGCCAAUAAAUUAAAUAGUGAUGGGGGUGGGUAACAAAACCAAGAAGCAUCCCUCCAGGAACGGACUUUCAAACUGAUGAUGCCCUAAUACUCAUCAUUUACAAUUGUCUCAACUUUUAGAAUUGUUGAAUUAAAGAAGAAAUCUCUUUCCCUCAGCUCCCCUUUUUCACUCAAAGAAAUUUGAAAGCAGAUUUAUCUUGGUGUCUUUUCCAUUUAAGCUCAUAACCUUUCCUGUUUUAAUUUAAACAUUUCACUGAAGAUAACUGAUCAAUUACCCUCAAAAUUGUAAUUAUUAGCCCACCUUACAUAAAUAAAUUAGAACAAACUAGUUUUUGAAUAGUAAGAAGCCCAAAGUUCUCACAGGUCUGAAACCAAACUUGUCAAAAUUGUGAAGGCCAUUGUGCAUUACCUGUAUUUGUCCAAGUAAAAACACGAAAGUACCAUGUCUUCUUAUAGUAAUUCCAACCUCAUUUAUCACUGAUAUAAAUGAUGGCUCUCAUUCCUAGGGCUUUGUAACAUGCUUCUAAAAUUGCUCUCAGACAACUGUAUAUUGAUUCAUAAAAUAAUAUGUGUGAAACUUGCUUCAACUUCAUAUCAUAAGGAAAAGGGUUUAACAUUGUUUCUCUCAGCCAAAAUACAUUGUUAGACUAUAAUUCUUAGUGACAAAUGUCUACACACAUGGCACCAUAAAAAAUCAUGAUCUAUGUAGAUUUCUAUGGAAGAUGUUCCAGGAAUAGGAUGGAUCUUUCAGUUAUGGUACCUGAACUAGAGUCACGAUCUACUCCAGCCUUUGCCUGAACUGGGUGUCAGAAGCUGAGCUGUAGAGUCUGGCUACACAUGUGAACAUAAGAAUAUAAUUUUAAAGAAGUUUUCUUAAAGAUUUCAGAGAAGAUACAACUCGUUCUUUCUAACUGCAAUAUUUAAAAUUACUAAUUAUAUUUACCCUUGUUAAUUUGUCAUUUCUCCCUCACACUAUUUAAUGACCCAUUGUCAUUAAUCAUUUGAAAUAUCAUGCCCUCUUUUUCUCUUACAUUCUCAGCUACACUUUAUUGCCCAUGGUAUAUAAUAGUGUUAACCAAAAAAUCUACAAUAAUUCAUGUAAGGUUGGAAAGGGAAUACACACAAGAGAAGAUCUGAGAGUCCAAUCUCUAAGUUUAUUUGGAUAAUCCCUCUGAUUCUUUGGAAAUAACCAAAAUGCUCCAGAAGUCAAUAGAACAGUGUCAAUUUGAAUCAGCUGAGAUUCUGGCUCUUUAUUUGUGUUGAAUGGUUAAGUUGAUGAUAUAUAGCAUUUAGAUUUGAUGAACAGAUGUCUACAGGUGGAAAGUAAGAGACUGAUUGGAGAGUUGUCAAAAGAUUGAGCUAUACAUGGAUCAAAACUUUCCUUUCCACUGGUGGGUUAAAAAAAUUAUCUAUGCCUAUGGCAUAACAAUAUUGGAGAGAAAAAAUACAUUGUUAAUGUCCCAAUUAGAAUUCCAGAAACAAAAUGUGCAAUUAGUUUUUUUGUCACAAGGUAUGUUUAAUCAUGCUUAAACAGACUAACUUGGUCGUAUGCUCUCAUUAGCUGACAACAUGAGGAAAACUAUAAGAAUUUUCAAGAGAAGUCCUCCAGUGGAAUGGAAGCAGAUAUGCUUUUCGUUUCAUAACAUCUCUUAGCAUAGGUUGUUUUUUUUUU